UCUGACAGGGACCGCCACCAGGGGGCGGCACAAGCACAGAGUGAAGAACAAAGUGAGCGGGUGGGGUGUAGCUCAUGGAAAAAGUCAGACACAGAUUAUUUUAAAUCUGGAUUAUAGACUCUUCACGUGACGUCACACAUCGCUUCCAGUGUCGAUGGUUUAGAACAGCAAAGCUGACAGCUGAACGUUGUUUAAAACUAUUUUAAAGGGUAACCUAACCAUUACCAAAAUUUGUAUAUUAUUUGUUUUAUAAAUGUCCUACCUGGUUGUAUUCGUUUCCUCCUCUUAGAUCGUUCACAAAUCAAAGUACAAAUGUCAGUAAUCCUGUCUACAUCAGAACGGCAACUCAGGUGUUUCCCCAAAUUCCUCUGGACGUUAAACGAGUCGUGGAUUAUUUCUCUCUGAAAACCCGGUUAAAAUUGGAUGAAGGUUACAAGAACUUCACUGAAUGCUGCUUGUUGGAUUAUGAAGGGUCUUUUACAGAUUAUUGCCUGAUUGACCCAAAAGAGUCAAGUCCUCGUGUAUUUGUGCUAUAAACGGUUUACAUAACGGGCUUCAGGGAGUCUGUGCUGAACUACCGGACAUCCUGCGGAGGCUCCUGGACUGAAUGUUGUCCUCCAGGGGGUCAAAGUCAAAGAUGGAGCCCGGGUCUGUCCUCCACACCUUCAGAUCUUCAGAGAGCAGGCAAACAUUAACUCUGCUGACACUCACAGACACAUGAGAGAACAGAAGAACCUCUGAUAGCUCACGCUUAAAUAAUCUGACGUUAGCAGAAGUAAAGGAAACGUAUUUUCAGAGCAGAAUGAACGACUCUGAGGAAGAACUUCAGGGAAAAAACACGGCUCCACGCCAACCUGAAAAUGAGUUUUAAUAAAUAUGGAAAAACAA